rnacentral:rRNA from 12 species
CUGAAAGGCCAGAUCGCCCUGAACUGGGCAGCUAAGCAGGGACGGGCCUGGUUAGUACUUGGAGGGGAGACCGCCUUGGAAGACCAGGGGCUGUGGU